rnacentral:rRNA from 1 species
UACGUAGGGUGCGAGCGUUAAUCGGAAUUACUGGGCGUAAAGCGUGCGCAGGCGGUUUUGUAAGCCAGAUGUGAAAUCCCCGGGCUCAACCUGGGAAUGGCAUUUGGGACUGCAAGGCUGGAGUACGGCAGAGGAGACUGGAAUUCCUGGUGUAGCAGUGAAAUGCGUAGAGAUCAGGAGGAAUACCGAUGGCGAAGGCAGGUCUCUGGGCAACAACUGACGCUGAGGAGCGAAAGCGUGGGGAGCGAACAGG